rnacentral:rRNA from 1 species
UGGGGAAUUUUGGACAAUGGGCGAAAGCCUGAUCCAGCAAUGCCGCGUGUGUGAAGAAGGCCUUCGGGUUGUAAAGCACUUUUGUCCGGAAAGAAAUCCUUGGCUCUAAUACAGUCGGGGGAUGACGGUACCGGAAGAAUAAGCACCGGCUAACUACGUGCCAGCAGCCGCGGUAAUACGUAGGGUGCAAGCGUUAAUCGGAAUUACUGGGCGUAAAGCGUGCGCAGGCGGUUUGCUAAGACCGAUGUGAAAUCCCCGGGCUCAACCUGGGAACUGCAUUGGUGACUGGCAGGCUAGAGUAUGGCAGAGGGGGGUAGAAUUCCACGUGUAGCAGUGAAAUGCGUAGAGAUGUGGAGGAAUACCGAUGGCGAAGGCAGCCCCCUGGGCCAAUACUGACGCUCAUGCACGAAAGCGUGGGGAGCAAACAGGAUUAGAUACCCUGGUAGUCCACGCCCUAAACGAUGUCAACUAGUUGUUGGGGACUUCAUUUCCUUAGUAACGUAGCUAACGCGUGAAGUUGACCGCCUGGGGAGUACGGUCGCAAGAUUAAAACUCAAGGAAUUGACGGGGUCAUAGCUGUUUCCU